rnacentral:misc_RNA from 1 species
UGGUUCUCGCAUCGAUGAAGAACGCAGCGAAAUGCGAUAAGUAAUAUGAAUUGCAGAUAUUCGUGAAUCAUCGAAUCUUUGAACGCACAUUGCGCCCUUUGGUAUUCCAAAGGGCAUGCCUGUUUGAGCGUCAUUUCUCCCUCAAACCCUCGGGUUUGGUGUUGAGCGAUACGCUGGGUUUGCUUGAAAGAAAGGCGGAGUAUAAACUAAUGGAUAGGUUUUUUCCACUCAUUGGUACAAACUCCAAAACUUCUUCCAAAUUCGACCUCAAAUCAGGUAGGACUACCCGCUGA